AGGUCAUUUCAAAGAGAUUAUAUGGAACCAAAACCAGGAGCUCUUAAUGCUCUGACCUAAAAUUGAAGUUCACCACAGGAUGUAAUAGACACUCAAUAGUGCUCUGUUUUCCUGGGGAGAUACAAGA